rnacentral:rRNA from 1 species
GACGAACGCUGGCGGCGUGCCUAAUACAUGCAAGUCGAGCGGACCAAAGGGAGCUUGCUCCUGGAGGUCAGCGGCGAACGGGUGAGUAACACGUGGGCAACCUGCCUGUAAGACUGGGAUAACAUCGAGAAAUCGGUGCUAAUACCGGAUAAUAAAAAGAACUGCAUGGUUCUUUUUUGAAAGAUGGUUUCGGCUAUCACUUACAGAUGGGCCCGCGGCGCAUUAGCUAGUUGGUGAGGUAACGGCUCACCAAGGCAACGAUGCGUAGCCGACCUGAGAGGGUGAUCGGCCACACUGGGACUGAGACACGGCCCAGACUCCUACGGGAGGCAGCAGUAGGGAAUCUUCCGCAAUGGACGAAAGUCUGACGGAGCAACGCCGCGUGAGUGAUGAAGGUUUUCGGAUCGUAAAACUCUGUUGUUAGGGAAGAACAAGUGCCGUUCGAAAGGGCGGCACCUUGACGGUACCUAACGAGAAAGCCACGGCUAACUACGUAGCCAGCAGCCGACGG